rnacentral:rRNA from 1 species
GUGCUAUCUGCAGUCGAACGCACAGCGAAAGGUGCUUGCACCUUUCAGUGAGUGGCGAACGGGUGAGUAACACGUGGACAACCUGCCUCAAGGCUGGGGAUAACAUUUGGAAACAGAUGCUAAUACCAAUAAAACUUAGUGUCGCAUGACACAAAGUUAAAAGGCGCUUCGGCGUCACCUAGAGAUGGAUCCGCGGUGCAUUAGUUAGUUGGUGGGGUAAAGGCCUACCAAGACAAUGAUGCAUAGCCGAGUUGGAGACUGAUCGGCCACAUUGGGACUGAGACACGGCCCAAACUCCUACGGGAGGCUGCAGUAGGGAAUCUUCCACAAUGGGCGAAAGCCUGAUGGAGCAACGCCGCGUGUGUGAUGAAGGCUUUCGGGCGUAAAGCACUGUUGUAUGGGAAGAACAGCUAGAAUAGGAAAUGAUUUUAGUUUGACGGUACCAUACCAGAAAGGGACGGCUAAAUACGUGCCAGCAGCCGCGGUAAUACGUAUGUCCCGAGCGUUACCGGAUUUAUUGGGCGUAAAGCGAGCGCAGACGGUUUAUUAAGUCUGAUGUGAAAGCCCGGAGCUCAACUCCGGAAUUGCAUUGGAAACUGGUUAACUUGAGUGCAGUAGAGGUAAGUGGAACUCCAGUGUAGCGGUGGAAUGCGUAGAUAUAUGGAAGAACACCAGUGGCGAAGGCGGCUUACUGGACUGCAACUGACGUUGAGGCUCGAAAGUGUGGGUAGCAAACAGGAUUAGAUACCCUGGUAGUCCACACGUAAACGAUGAACACUAGGUGUUAGGAGGUUUCCGCCUCUUAGUGCCGAAGCUAACGCAUUAAGUGUUCCGCCUGGGGAGUACGACCGCAAGGUUGAAACUCAAAGGAAUUGACGGGGACCCGCACAGCGGUGGAGCAUGUGGUUUAAUUCGAAGCAACGCGAAGAACCUUACCAGGUCUUGACAUCCUUUGAAGCUUUUAGAGAUAGAAGUGUUCUCUUCGGAGACAAAGUGACAGGUGGUGCAUGGUCGUC